rnacentral:tRNA from 1 species
AGAAACUUAGGAUAACAUUAAACCAAGGGCCUUCAAAGCCCAAAAUAGGAGUGAAAAUCCCCUAGUCUCU